rnacentral:misc_RNA from 1 species
AAAGUCGUAACAAGGUUUCCGUAGGUGAACCUGCGGAAGGAUCAUUACCGAAUGACCCGCACCUCGCCCUGUGCGUGGGUGCUCAUUGGCGCCUCUUGAUCUUGAUCCUGGUGCUCACCCACCACUCCUGGGUUGGGUGCCCCUUUCAAGAUGUCCUACACUACACACAAACCUGUCAUCGUAUGGUGUUGAACAUUUAACAUAUAAUACAACUUUCAACAACGGAUCUCUUGGCUCUC